rnacentral:rRNA from 1 species
CUUAAGCAUAUCAAUAAGCGGAGGAAAAGAAACUAACAAGGAUUCCCCUAGUAACGGCGAGUGAAGCGGGAUGAGCUCAAAUUUAAAAUCUGGCGGUCUCAGAUCGUCCGAGUUGUAGUCUAGAGAAGCGUUUUCCGUGCUGGCCUGUGUACAAGUCCGUUGGAACACGGCGUCAUAGAGGGUGAGAAUCCCGUCCUUGACACAGAUCUCCAGUGCUUUGUGAUGCGCUCUCAAAGAGUCGAGUUGUUUGGGAAUGCAGCUCAAAAUGGGUGGUAAAUUCCAUCUAAAGCUAAAUAUUGGCGAGAAACCGAUAGCGAACAAGUACCGUGAGGGAAAGAUGAAAAGCACUUUGGAAAGAGAGUUAAACAGUACGUGAAAUUGUUGAAAGGGAAACGAUUGAAGUCAGUCAUGCUUUCCGAGACUCAGCCGGUUCUGCCGGUGUACUUCUCGGUUUGCAGGCCAGCAUCAGUUUUGGGCGGUGGAAAAGGUUGGCGGGAAUGUGGCAUCCUCGGAUGUGUUAUAGCCCGCUUUCGAAUACAUCGCCCGGGACUGAGGAACGCAGCACGCCUCUUGUAGGUCGGUCUUCGGA